GGGGGUGCCGGGUUUCGAUGGGUGCUCGUUUCCAUUCGUGCAGGCCGAGGCGCUCGAACCUCGUUAUCACUCGAGCAAUACCACGUAGGAGUCAAUACCUUCGCACGGGUGACGAAUGCGGUACGCAAUGCGUUCCGUAUGCCGUCAUUCGCUUCGGCAGUCGCGUAACGCCACUGCCCAUCCGGUCCGCUGACGCUCGUAUGGCGGACACUGGGUGCAAUUCCUUCGAGCUGGAUGUACGGCCGCCCGCCCGAACAUCGAGAACUUGGGCUCACGACGCGCGUCUGUUGCUCCGUAUGAGCGCGCGUCGGACAUCAUAACGGAGCUACGCCUGGAGAACGAGUGGAUCGGCGAACAUCCAGACGGGGGUUCAACUCCCCCCACCUCCAAUA
rnacentral:tmRNA from 1 species